rnacentral:rRNA from 1 species
GACGGGGGGGGCAAGUGUUCUUCGGAAUGACUGGGCGUAAAGAGCUCGUAGGCGGUCUGUUGCGUCCGCUGUGAAAACUCGGGGCUUAACCCCGAGCCUGCAGUGGAUACGGGCAGACUAGAGGUAGGUAGGGGAGAAUGGAAUUCCCGGUGUAGCGGUGAAAUGCGCAGAUAUCGGGAGGAACACCGGUGGCGAAGGCGGUUCUCUGGGCCUUACCUGACGCUGAGGAGCGAAAGCGUGGGGAGCGAACAGG